UUCCAUUGCGCAUGUGCCAAAAAAUCCCCCUCCCUAGUGACCAGACCCCUGCACUGCGGUGAAAAGAGUGCGCAUGUGCUAGCAGGCCCUUUCUCCAAGGCUGCGAGCUGCUCUGAGCCGCUGUUUUUCAGGAACCAAGACCUUUGAUGAUAGCAUGAAGCACAACUUUACAUCAGUCCACCAGAAGCACAUUCAUCUGUGUCCACACAGGACUAGAAACCUCCAAAGUAAAUUCAUUUGUUUAGAAAAUGCAGAAUAAAAAGUUUUCUAUCAAUACAUAGA